CGGCGUGCUUUGCAACGGAUCGAUCCCGGCAUCGAUCAGCUUCUGCUUGAUCGCGGGAUCGUUGACCGCCUUGAGAUAAGCCUCGCGCAGCUUCGCGAUGAUGUCUGGCGAGACUUUCGCCGGUGCGGAAAAGCCCUGCCACGCCCAUGCCUCGAAGCCCGGAACCGCGGCGGCAACGGCGGGAACGCCCGGCAAUCCAUAGAACUCGCCCGGUGAACACACGCCGAUCGCCUUGAUCGAUUUCAGGUUGAGUUGCGACCGCGCUGUGGCGAAAUCGACGAACAUCAUUCCGAUCUGUCCGCCGGCGAGAUCCUGCAACGCCGGUCCCGCGCCUUUGUAAGGCACGUGGUUGAGCUUGAUGCCGGAUGACUGCGCAAACAGUUCUGCCGCGAGAUGGAACGGCGAGCCG
rnacentral:misc_RNA from 1 species